GGGGCUGACCGGUUUUGACAGCAGGCAGAGUCUGAUUGUAAGCACGUCGAGCGCUGUGCGGCGGCUCGUUAAUCCCGAUGCUCAAACUACAAAUGGCAAUAACAGCUAUGCACUCGCUGCCUAAUUUUCAAGGAAAAGCAGGCUUAAUCGCGUGACCCGAGGAGGUCGUGCGACGAGUAUCCCGGCGGACGGUUCCGCUCUUUAACCGCUCGUCAUACGGGGUAUCAUCAAUUAAGAGAUAGUGCGGCGCCAGCCUCGUGCGCCGUGCGAAAUUCAAGAGGCUGGGUUCCGUAUCAGGUUGCCGCCUGCCGUAUGCGGAAAGAAGGAUUAAACGGUCGGCUAAACGUGUAGAAAGCUCUCGGGUUCCUUGUUUGGACAGGGGUUCGACUCCCCUCAGCUCCACAA
rnacentral:tmRNA from 1 species